rnacentral:rRNA from 1 species
AGAGCGCAAGGGGAAUGCCUUGGCAUCAGGAGCCGAAGAAGGACGUGACAAGCUGCGAUAAGCUUCGGGGAGGAGCAAAUAUCCGUUGAUCCGGAGAUUUCCGAAUGGGGAAACCCACUGGAGCAAUACUCCAGUAUCGUGCGUUGAAUCAAAUAGGCGUACGAAGGGAACGCCCUGAACUGAAACAUCUAAGUAGGGGCAGGAAAAGACAUCAACCGAGAUUCCGCAAGUAGUGGCGAGCGAACGCGGAGGAGGCCAAACCGGUGGAUUUAUUCACCGGGGUUCGGACUGGCAUCACGAUCAGAGGUAUCUAGAAGAACGGCAUGGGAAGGCCGGCCAUAGAGGGUGAGAGCCCCGUAUUUGAAAGAGAAGACUGACAGCCAGAAUCCAGAGUACCGCGGGACACGUGAAACCCCGUGGGAACGUGGGUGGACCACCAUCCAAGCCUAAAUACUACCUGAUGACCGAUAGAGGAGCAGUACCGUGAGGGAAAGGUGAAAAGGACCCCGGGAGGGGAGUGAAAGAGAACCUGAAACCUUGUGCCUACAAGCACAUAGAGCCCGUCAAAGGGUGAUAUGGUACUUUUUGUAGAACGGUCCGGCGAGCGAUUGUACGUUGCGAGCUUAAGGUCUUAAGGACUGGAGGCGUAGCGAGAGCGAGUCUAAACAGGGCGUUUAGUAGCGUGCAAUGGGCCCGAAACCGGGUGACCUACCCAUGAUCAGGCUGAAGUGAAAGUAAAAUUUCAUGGAGGGCCGAACCGACCUCCGUUGAAAAGGCGGCGGAUGAAUUGUGGGUAGCGGAGAAAUUCCAAUCGAACUCGGAGAUAGCUGGUUCUCCCCGAAAUAGCUUUAGGGCUAGCCUCGAUUUAGAUUACCGGGGGUAGAGCACUGAAUGGGCUAGGGGGCCACAAAGCUUACCGAACCCUAUCAAACUUCGAAUACCGGAUAAUUGAUGAUCGGGAGUCAGACAGUGUGAGAUAAGUUUCAUUGUCGAAAGGGAAACAGCCCAGAUCUACGACUAAGGUCCCAAAGUUCAAGUUAAGUGGAAAAGGAUGUGCAAUUGCGUAGACAACCAGGAUGUUGGCUUAGUAGCAGCCAUUCAUUCAAAGAGUGCGUAAUAGCUCACUGGUCGAGUGAUUGUGCGCCGAAAAUGUAACGGGGCUAAACUUGACACCGAAGUCUAGGCAGAAGGAAACUUCUGGGUAGGGGAGCAACGUGUACGGGCAGAAGCAGAAGCGGAAGCGACUGUGGACUGUACAGGAGAGAGAAUGCCGGCAUGAGUAGCGAGAGCAAAGUGAGAAUCUUUGCCGUCGAAAGCCUAAGGUUUCCUGAGGAAGGCUCGUCCUCUCAGGGUAAGUCGGGACCUAAGCCGAGGACAAUAGUCGUAGGCGAUGGACAAUCGGUUAAUAUUCCGAUACCGCCGAGCAACCGGAUGCAGUGACACAGAAGGAUAGGCAGAGCGUGGCGAUGGUAGACCACGUCCAAGCAGUGAGGCUGUUGUGUAGUGAAGUACGCACAACGAAAGGCUGGGCUGUGAUGGGGAACGAUUACGAUCGGUAAGCUGCUGAAUUCACGCUGGCGAGAAAAGCUGCUACGAAGCGAAGGCGCCCGUACCGCAAACCGACACAGGUAGGCGAGGAGAGAAUCCUAAGACGAGCGGGAGAACCCUUGUUAAGGAACUCGGCAAAAUGACUCCGUAACUUAGGGAGAAGGAGUGCCCAGGAAUGGGCCGCAGAGAAUAGACCCAAGCGACUGUUUACCAAAAACACAGGUCUGUGCGAAGUAGAGAUACGACGUAUACGGGCUGACACCUGCCCAGUGCCGGAAGGUUAAGGGGAAAUGUUAGGGCAACCGAAGCAUGGAACUUAAGCCCCGGUGAACGGCGGCCGUAACUAUAACGGUCCUAAGGUAGCGAAAUUCCUUGUCGGGUAAGUUCCGACCCGCACGAAUGGUGUAACGAUUUGGGUACUGUCUCAACAAGGGACCCGGCGAAAUUGUAGUAUGUGUGAAGAUGCACAUUACCCGCGAUAGGACGGAAAGACCCCGUAGAGCUUUACUGUAGUUUAACAUUGGAUUUCGGUAACAUAUGUACAGGAUAGGUGGGAGGCGAAGAACCAGGGACGCCAGUUUCUGGGGAGCCGACCUUGGGAUACCACUCUUGUGUUAUUGGAGUUCUAACGAAUUGCCGUGAACCGGGAUUCGGACAGUGUUAGAUGGGCAGUUUGACUGGGGCGGUCGCCUCCUAAAGAGUAACGGAGGCGUCCAAAGGUUCCCUCAGAAUGGUUGGAAACCAUUCGCAGAGUGUAAAGGCAGAAGGGAGCUUGACUGCGAGACCGACAGGUCGAGCAGGUGCGAAAGCAGGGCUUAGUGAUCCGGCGGUAUGAGAGUGGAAUUGCCGUCGCUCAACGGAUAAAAGCUACCUCGGGGAUAACAGGCUUAUCUCCCCCAAGAGUCCACAUCGACGGGGAGGUUUGGCACCUCGAUGUCGGCUCGUCGCAUCCUGGGGCUGUAGUCGGUCCCAAGGGUUGGGCUGUUCGCCCAUUAAAGCGGCACGCGAGCUGGGUUCAGAACGUCGUGAGACAGUUCGGUCUCUAUCCGUAGUGGGCGUUAGAAAAUUGAGGAGAGCUUUUCCUAGUACGAGAGGACCGGAAAGGACGUACCGAUGGUGUAUCUGUUGUCACGCCAGUGGCACCGCAGAGUAGCUAUGUACGGAAGGGAUAAUCGCUGAAGGCAUCUAAGCGAGAAGCCCCCUCCAAGAUGAGUUUUCUCUAUCUUUAAGAUAUAAGAUCCCUUGU